AGCCUAGCUUGCUAGGUGAAUUAGUGGCGGACGGGUGAGUAAUAUAUCGGAACGUGUCCAUUAAUGGGGGAUAACUAGUCGAAAGGCUGGCUAAUACCGCAUACGCCCUACGGGGGAAAGAUUUAUCGCCGAUUGAGAAGCCCGCGUCGGAUUAGCUUGUUGGUGAGGUAAUGGCUCACCAAGGCGACGAUCCGUAGCUGGUCUGAGAGGAUGACCAGCCACACUGGGACUGAGACACGGCCCAGACUCC
rnacentral:rRNA from 1 species